rnacentral:lncRNA from 1 species
GGGGGGGGGAACCAUAUGGGUGCCCCCGGCGACCAUAUGGGUGCUGUGGGGGCCUAUGGGUCACCGUGGGGCCCUAUGGGGCACUGUGGGGCCCUAUGGGUGCUAUGGGGACCCUAUGGGGUCCCUAUGGGGUCUCUAUGGGUGCUAUGGGUUCCUAUGGGUGCUAUGGGGACACUAUGGGGUCCCUAUGGGGUCUCCAUGGGUGCUAUGCAGUCCCUAUGGGUGCUAUGGGGCCCUACGGGUGCUAUGGGGCCCUAUGGGUUCCUAUGGGUGCAAUGGAGCCCUAUGGGUGCUAUGGAUCCCUAUGGGUGCUAUGGGGCCCUAUGGGUUCCUAUGGGUGCAAUGGAGCCCUAUGGGUGCUAUGGAGUCCCUAUGGGUGCUAUGGGGCCCUAUGGGUUCCUAUGGGUGCAAUGGAGCCCUAUGGGUGCUAUGGAGUCCCUAUGGGUGCUAUGGGGCCCUAUGGGUCCCCAUGGGUGCAAUGGAGCCCUAUGGGUGCUAUGGGGCCCUAUGGGUUCCUAUGGGUGCUAUGGGUUCCUGUGGGUGCUAUGGGGUCCCUAUGGGUGCAAUGGGGCCCUAUGGGUGCUAUGGGGUCCCUAUGGGUGCUAUGGGGCCCUAUGGGUGCUAUGGGGCCCUAUGGAUGCUAUGCAGUCCCUAUGUGUGCUAUGGAGCCCUAUGGGUGCUGUGGGGCCUUAUGAGUUCCUAUGGGUGCUAUGGGGCCUUAUGGGUGCUAUGGGGCCCUAUGGGUUCCUAUGGGUGCUAUGUGGCCCUAUGAGUUCCUAUGGGUGCUAUGGGGCCCUAUGGGUGCUAUGCGGCCCUAUGGGUUCCUAUGGGUGCUAUGGGGUCCCUAUGGGUGCUAUGGGGCCCUAUGGGUGCUAUGGGGUCCCUAUGGGUGCUAUGGGGCCCUAUGGGUGCUAUGGGGCCCUAUGGGUGCUAUGGGGUCCCUAUGGUCCCUAUGGGUGCAAUGGGGCCCUAUGGGUGCUAUGGGGUCCCUAUGGGUGCAAUGGGGCCCUAUGGGUGCUAUGGGGCCCUAUGGGUCUCUAUGGGUGCUAUGGGUCCCUGUGGGUGCUCUGAGCUCUGUGAGUUGGGGGGGUGGGGGGGGGGGUCAGUGGGUGCCGCCCCCCCUCUGCGUCCCCAAUCCGCGCUGGCAGUGCCGCGCAAUUACCCAAAUGGCUUUAAUUGCACCCAUAAUCCCCCACCCCCCCCCACCCCCAACCCCACGGGGACACGGGG